GAAAUGCGAUAAGUAAUGUGAAUUGCAGAAUUCAGUGAAUCAUCGAAUCUUUGAACGCACAUUGCGCCCGCCAGCAUUCUGGCGGGCAUGCCUGUUCGAGCGUCAUUUCAACCCUCGAGCCCGACUCUUUUGAGGACGGCUCGGCGUUGGGGGACGGCAGACUCCCCCCGGCGAGAUGCCGGGGGGAGUCUGCCGUCCCCGAAAUCUAGUGGCGGCCCUCCGAGGCGACCUCUGCGUAGUAACUUGUUCUCGCACCGGAAAGCUCAGAGCGGCCACGCCGUAAAACCCCAACUUUUUUCAGGUUGACCUCGAAUCAGGUAGGACUACCCGCUGAACUUAA
rnacentral:misc_RNA from 1 species